rnacentral:lncRNA from 1 species
UCCUGUCUCCCCUGAAGACAACCUCUGACCCAUCCUGACCUCUGAACCUGACUACCUUGUCCCUGCAGUCCAAGGUAGCACUAUGGGUAGAUAACCAGUCCAUCCCUAGAAUGACGUCAAAAUCUGUCAAGUCUAGAACCACAAGGUCGGCGGACAAGCAUCUUCCCUCAACAAACACAGGACUACAUUGGCAGACUGACUCUGCCACUGAUGGAUCACACUUGGGUCCACUGACCCAGAGAGGACACUCUAACUCAGAGAUCAUCAACCCCAACCUCUAGACGGCUCUCAGAGCAAUAAAAGAAUGAGAUGCACCAGGGUCCAUCAAGGCAUACACAUCUGAACAACCAAUGACUAA